CUCAUCCCUCACAGUUUAUCCUCUCAUCCAUCCGUGGCCUAUUGCCCUUUGGCUGUAUGCCACACCAACAAGUAGUAGAAGAUGUUCGUCAUGGACAUGUGAGGAAGAACAAGAACUGGCUCACGGCCAUCAUCUCCUUGGACGAAGAAGAAGAAGAUUCUUCCCGCGUUCGUUCUUCCGUUCUUCAAUCGCACUGUUCCUAUGUGGAGAAGAAGAAUCUGAGUGCCUGAACGUUCAUCUUGUGCUAUCCAUUCGUGAUAUUUCUGCAAUGAGUGCUACUACGCAAGAAGUACCUAGUAAAACCAGGACGAACGUGUCCUACGUACCGUUUAUGACGGGCAUAAGCUGCACUUUCGCAGUGGCAGCGGUCACCAUUACCCUUCUCCUGCGUUUGCCUGGACUCGUGGAUAAUCGAGUCCCUCAUGACGAGGUGCAGAGCCUGGGAUUCAGAGUCAAUAUGCUAGAUCAGCUAAAGGAACAGCAUGUAACAGCAUCAAGCGAUACGGACGACUAUGACCUGUGGAGGACGACGCGGACCGAGGGAACGCCAUUUCCAUCUGAGGGUCCUUCACUCUCGCCCACAGUACGUAGACGUCGUCGCACGCGGGGCACAACUCCGAACAACCGACGUCUCCAUAAAGCUACAAAAGCAGCAGGAGCGCGUACUGCACGUAGAUAUAAAAGCGUGUCGACCUCGAGAAACCCUAGCUACGACACUCAUGCCAUGGAAACGUCUGGCAGGAAACGAAGGAGGACGUCCUAUCCUACACGGGUUCCCAAGGUAGCAACAUGGUUCAGAAAGAGGACUAGGGGAUCGGCGACCUCUUUUCCUAGUGGAGACUCUGCUAGAAGAAGCACACCUACGCAGAAUGUUGUUUGGUUUAGAAGGAGGACCACUAAACUCACAUCUCGCAACGUAGCUCCAUAUGAACCUACUACUGCUGCUCCUACGAGGAGUGCGUCAGUGUAUAAAAUGACCUGGUUUAGAAACAGGAAAUUUAAAAGGACUUCUUGGAAAAGCGUGACAACGGCAGCGUCCUCGGAGGAACCUAAUGUCCUGCAGAGUCGACCUUCAUUGGCUAUUACCGUACCAAGUUCUACCACCAGGACAGUAGUUAAAUUCAAAUCGUGGUUUCGAAGGAAAUCAACGACCAAAGCCACAGAGAAAAUCACCACAAUGCGCAUUAGGCGACAGCCGUACACAAAGCGCUCAACAAAUUUGCAUGCUCAUGAUCCUUCCAGUGACUCCACUUCUACUGCUCCUGGCAACUGGGCGGCUAACCACACGAGGCCACGCAUACAAAGGAACAGAACAUCGCGAAAGACUACGUUCGUCCCAAGCGGUCCACGUCGUAGGGCUACACGCCCGCGCGUCAAGCCUUACACUAGGCGACGCCUUUUUACGCACCUAUCAACCGUAAUGCACCGAACAACGAAGGAAGCCUCUAGCUCACGACGCACAGUCAAGGGUGUGACAACGUACAGAAGACGCAUUACGGGAACAAUGUCACAUAAUCGAGUCACAAAUGGCAGACGUGCGGAGGACGCGGCGAAGAAACGCAAACGCACGAAUAUCGCAAUACGGAUGACGAAGUCCUAUGCGACAUCUCGGGCACGUUUCGUGAAAUCAACCAAUAAGGAGUCGAGAAAUGCGAAGACCACGAGUAUGACUGUGACGAUGACGGAGGCAGAAACAACGAGAGAAAGCAAUGUUGCCUCAGAGGUCGUCACACGCAAGAGAUCUGCCGGGACGCCAAUGCAACGCAAGAAGUCGAGACGGACGGCUCCAGUAGGACGGCCCAAGCCCACAAUAGGCGUGCCUAAGACUAAACGUAAAGUUCCAGCAGGUGGAGUGCCCACAACGCGAAGUCGCAUUGUAGGAUCGACAAAAAGAGCAGGUCAUUCUGCGCAGAGACCAAAACGCUCAACAGCUAGAGGUACACAGAGGAGCAGUGGUGCACAGAGUGGAGGAACCAAGGAGCGGAAUCACAGCGGAGAAAAGAAAGCGAGUGGUGGCUACAGAGGGCACGGGAUCUCGUUCACGACGAAGAGUCCUGGACGAACCAGUUCACUUACAAGUGUCGUACGAGGUGAUGUUACCUCCAGAAAGGCGCGGACAGCUCACGCUACCCGGCGACCAUACGGGACAAGCAUUCCGUACAGAAAUAUGACAACGCGGAAACGGUCGGCAGUUCCAAAGCGAAAACCGGUAAGCGAUACAAUGGUGCCAAAAUAUUUCACAACUGCGAAAAGCGACAGAAGAAAACAUACUUCAAGUGGUCCGGUUGCGAAACCAACGUUCACAAACACACCAGCACGCGAGACCACAUUGUCUACUGCUUCGUGGACGAAGACAGACAAUACCACUUCACUGUCUCGAAAACAAACGACGACAAAGACAAUAAGCACGAAGGCAUCGCCAGCAAGCCUGAGUGCUACACCGUUUAACACUAGAUCAACUGUUGCAGCUACCGUUCAACAUACAGGACGCGUGACGACUGCGACGCCCUUCACAAGCUACAUCCCGACUACGGUCACCACGGCUACAUCCCAAGGCACCGAGUCACAUGACCAAUAUUCAAAAUCUCCAAGUAUUGCAACGAUGAGAUCUGAGGAGUCGCAAUCCACGCAGCUUACAGAACAUUUUGAUCGAGAAUAUUACAACGAAACACACAGAAUAACCUAUAUUUUGAAUCGGGGAACUAGUACGGAGGAACACAGAAGCAGCUCGCCGUCCGUUUACGAAAGCACAACUACAUCUCCUGUGACUUCUACUGGAGGUUUUACACAAAAGGCCAGCAUUGAGGUCCGAAGGCCGUCUGUCACCAUUGCUAUAUCCAUAGGAAGGCCUGCGACUCCUGCCACCUCGUCUCCAACUUUGCCAGAUGUCAAGUCUGUCACAACUGCAACGCAUUCAACGGUCACUGUCACCCCUAUAUCACUUCACCCCAAACUGGCUUCGACUACCUCGGUUUCCAAGCAUAAUACGAUGAGUAAAAUUAGAAAAGAUUACGGAUAUUCAUCAGAAUUUUACAGAAAACGAACCACCGUCACCGCCAACCCCGAUGAAGACGGAACUCACGAGGUUGUCACCUCAUCUCCUGAGAAAACGUUACGCGGCACUGUUUCGGCAAACAUGACAACGUUUGUGAAUUUAGACGAACUGGUAUAUGUAACGGAUGUGUUCGUGUAGUUUGGGACUUCGUACAGAGGGCCCCGUGCGCGCACCCUCGAAAUAUAUUCUAGUUUCUCGCUCCAUCACCAGUUCAUAAUAAACGUUUCUGUAUGGCGUGCA